rnacentral:rRNA from 1 species
CAGUCUGCAACUCGACUGCGUGAAGGUGGAGUCGCUAGUAAUCGCGGAUCAGCAACGCCGCGGUGAAUGCGUUCCCGGGCCUUGUACACACCGCCCGUCAAGUCAUGAAAGUGGGCAGCACCCGAAGACGGUGGCCUAACCCUUGUGGGGGAGCCGUCUAAGGUGAGGCUCGUGAUUGGGACUAAGUCGUAACAAGGUAUC